AAGCAACUGCUCAACACCAAACAAAAUGCCAUAAUGAAUCCAAGAUUCAAAUUCUUUUUAGGCUUAUGUAACAUGAAGUUGCCUUCCAGUGGAAUUACCUUCCUCACACACUUGAUAAUGAAGUAUUUAAAGGUGAAUGUCUAACUCAUAUCAGGAGGGAUUAUUGUUAUACAUUGGCUACCAUGGAAUGGUUAGGUCUUAGCCACAUGCAUAUCUAUAUGGCGUAAGUAAUUUCUUUUUUCGUUUCUUUAAUUAUAAAAUCUAUUAAAAGUUUAUAUAAAUAUUUAAUUCUUGUUUUUUCUUGAAUAUUAGUUGCUUCUAUGACAAGAUUAUGCAUGUCUAUAUGGUGUAAGUAAUUUCUUUUUCGUUUCUUUAAUUAUAAAAUCUAUUAAAAGUUUAUAUAAAUAUUUAAUUCUUGUUUUUUCUUGAAUAUUAGUUGCUUAUAUGACAAGAUUCCAGUGACUGGAUAAGAUGGGAAACCUUUUGGCUUCAUGAAUCCUAGUCAUGUUAGCCCCAACAAAGUUGAAAAUGCACUUAAAAUGCGUAUAACGAGGACACAAGCAAUUUCUUAUUGUUUGGCCAAAAGCUCACCCUUCUCCAUUGAUAUUUAUUCUUUACAAUCCUGGGUAGUUUCAUAUCAUUAAUAAAUAAGUUGUUAAUUUUUCAUUUCUUCUUACUUUUGUUAUUCUUGUUGUGAUCAAUAUGGCGGCAAAGAUUGGAUAUUUCAUGGAUCCGUAAGGAAAAAAAAUCUAGCGGAAGACAAUAAGGAGUUGGUAAUAAAGUAAGUAUAUCAUCGUUAAAUCAUUACAUAAUGUUAAGUCCGUUAUAAACAUUUUAGUAGUUCUAACCGUAAGUUUUAAACUCCUAAUGGGAUUAACAUGUUCACAGCAAUGAGAAGUAAAAAAAAGUGCACCCUGAACUAAAAUCAAUAUUGGUAAUACAAUUUUUUCCCUAUCAUUUUAAUUAACUACUAGUUAUAGCUUUUUAAGUACUUAGAUUGAGUUUUAUUACUAUAGGUUCCAAAACAACUCAGUUCAUAUGAGUGUGGGUAUUAAUUAUGUCAUGUAAUAUAUGAGUGAUAUUAAUGUUGAUCCUAGUUUAUUGCUCAACAAUGUAAGUGAUAUAUUUUAUGUCCAUUUUUUGUUAAUAUUUUACAUCCACCAUAUUUGUUGUUAAAUCAUUUAGCCAUUAGUAGUUUAACAACAAACCAGUUUACACUCAGGUAGAAAUGUCUGAAUGUUCAUAUAAGGAGAGGAGUUGUUUAUUACAUACUUCGGUUAGUUUGGGUAUGUUUUGAGUUUUCAUGUCCAUUUACUUGGCUAUAUUAGCUUGAUUUCAAAGUCAAUUUUGAUAUGUCAAUAUAAUGUAUAAUUGUUUUGAGUUGAGCUAAUAAUUAUGUUGGAUUAGACUGGUUUGUUUUUGGUGCUUCGCUGAUGGAAUGGUGUCUUUAUUGAAAUUUUGAAUGUAAUGCCAGUAUGAGACUACAUUUAGUUUAAUUAAACAUUGCAUCUAGUUUAUUUAUCAAAAAUGUGAAUCUAGUGGCAUUUGGUUUGGUUUAUUUGAUGUUCUCUAACAUUUCACUUGCAUUUAAUUUUGUUGCAUAUGUUCCUUGCAUUUGAUGGCAAUAUGAGACUGUGCUUGGUUUUGUGACAUUUGAUGGUAGUUUGGUCUGUUGUUAGUGUUGAUUAAAGAUUGUUCUUGCUGUGCUGAUGUUAAUUCCAGGUGCUUGAUUCAGCUGAUGUUAUUGGUUUAUUGAGAUGGUUGAUUCAAGCAGUGUUGGUGGUUUUAGGUGGUGUUGCUGGUUGAUUCAAAUGAUUGAUUCAAGAUUGUUCAUUUAAGAAUUGUAAUUGUUAUGUUGGAAAACAAAUUAAGAACCGAUGAAAUAUUCAUUUAACUAUGAUUGUUGUAGUUAUUUUAUAUUCAUAACUGAACUAUAAUCUAUGAAACUUGUGGAUGGAUUUGAGAA
rnacentral:lncRNA from 1 species